rnacentral:rRNA from 1 species
CCUGCCCAGUGAAUAAUUAAACGGCCGCGGUACCCUAACCGUGCAAAGGUAGCGUAAUCAUUUGUCUACUAAUUAUAGACCUGUAUGAAAGGCAAAAUGAGGAUUUAACUGUCUCUUAUAAUAAAUCAAUUAAACUGAUCUCCUAGUAAAAAAGCUAGAAUAAUAACAUAAGACCAGAAGACCCUGUGAAGCUUAAAUCAAACUAUUAAACCAUAUAAUAACUACUUUCGGUUGGGGCGACCUUGGAAAAAAAAAGAACUUCCAAGACCCAGCACAGCUGAUAAUUGAACCAAGUUACUCCAGGGAUAACAGCGCAAUCUUCUUCAAGAGCCCAUAUCAAAAAGAAGGUUUACGACCUCGAUGUUGGAUCAGGACAUCCUAAUGGUGCAGCCGCUAUUAAGGGUUCGUUUGUUCAACGAUUAACAGUCCUACGUGAUCUGA